AGGACGAACGCUGGCGGCGUGCUUAAUACAUGCAAGUCGAACGGAGCUUAGCUGAUAGUUACUAGAGGCGAAAGCUUAGUGGCGGACGGGUGAGUAACGCGUGGGUAAUCUGCCCCUAAGUCCGGGAUAACAGAGCGAAAGUUCUGCUAAGACCGGAUACUCUUUACCAGUUGCAUAACGGGUAAAGGAAAGGUAACGCUUAGGGAUGAGCCCGCGUCCCAUUAGCUAGUUGGUGAGGUAACGGCCCACCAAGGCGACGAUGGGUAGCCGGCCUGAGAGGGUGGACGGCCACACUGGGACUGAGACACGGCCCAGACUCCUACGGGAGGCAGCAGUAGGGAAUUUUCCGCAAUGGGCGCAAGCCCUGACGGAGCAACGCCGCGUGAGGGACGAAGGUCUUCGGAUCGUAAACCUUUGUCAUCGAGGACGAUAAUGACGGUACUCGAGGAGGAAGCCCCGGCUAACUACGUGCCAGCAGCUGC
rnacentral:rRNA from 1 species